rnacentral:rRNA from 1 species
CUCCUAUUUUCGGUUGGUUUUGGCAGCGCGAGGACUAGGGUAAUGAUUAAUAGGGAUAGUUGGGGGCAUUAAUAUUUAAUUGUCAGAGGUGAAAUUCUUGGAUUUAUGAAAGAUUAACUUCUGCGAAAGCAUCUGCCAAGGAUGUUUUCUUUAAUCAACCCCCCACGUUAAGGGACGAAGACGA